rnacentral:lncRNA from 1 species
UUUCUGCGUAAGGUUUAAGUAAAAACAUACGUUAGUAGUGCACUGAUCAAAAUAAUAAUUCUGACAUGUGAUUUAUGAAAGGACGAAAAGGAAAUGCUAUCAAACCUUGAAAUCAGGAGAUCCAAAAUACAACAGCAGGUAGUGCCAUUCAGCAAUGUCAAUGUCUUCUGGCUUGUGUUUCAUUCUUCCAGCAUAACUGUUGUACACCUUGUACGUAGCACUGUAUGUUGAUCUCCAUCAUUUGUAUCGCUCCUUUGCGAUGGCCCAAAUCUUUUCCUUUUCAUCAUCAACGUUUACAAGCUCCCACCUAUUCUGUUUAUGUGAGAACACAUUCAAAAGGAGAAGUAUUUGGUUAUUUGAG